CGGCGCGGUCACGUUAUCCGCGUGGUUUCAGACGCGACAUGUAAAGUAAAUGUAAAGCAACUGUGCGUAUGUGUUGGCCAUUUCGGUGGCUGCUCGAGCCGAGCCCCGGAGGACCCAGGGGAUCAGGGCAUAUCUGCGUGUUUAUUGUAGCACUUCCACUCAUAAAACAACAAGUGAGAAACCUUUUUGGGGUUAUUAUGUUUCCACCUGCGCUGAAAACGCGUUCUGAUAGUGUAGUGGUAGCGCAGAUUGAUACUUUUUCGCAACUUUGAAUGAGAGAGAAAGGCCGUUUCUCAACCGAAGGCUUCAGUCUCCGGAGGUCGCAUAUGCAAGCUGUAUGUCAUCAAGCCUGGUUUAUUAUUUUCAUACAUUUGCAAGUCAUAAGCAUAUUACAACAAUUUAUGAUCAACAAUGAAUAAUAGUCAAGCUUUCAAAAAUGAUAUUGCUAUGAAAAAUUACUGUACAUUUGAAUCUAUUUUUCUUUGUUUUUUUAGGUGUUGGCAACAGACAUUGAAAAAAGACUACAGUUUCCUGACUCUAAUUGUCUUAGGUGAAUCAGCGUUUGGAUGCUGAGCAUCGGGUGGUUGUGCCUCCACAUCCCAACUUCGUGGCUGGAAUGGCAGCUUUGUUUUCUAGCUACUACAACUUCAAUAUUGUGUACCAGGAGCAAAUGCACACUGGAGUUCAUUCAAAGAUGCUUCAUUGGACUGAACCCGUCCAGUGGGACCAAGACAGCAAAGGUGGUUAGCCAAAAAAGAGGGAAGGUACCGGAGAAAAAGAAGAACCGCAUUAACCCUCACGUCUCCUCUCUCCUUAAGCGGCUGAUAGAUUUUGAAUGGCUUCAAUUGUAAGUCUCAAGCGACUUCCUCACAAUAUGAAUGGACAAUGUUCUAAAUGUUUUCUGAAUUUCACUGAAUGUUAAGAAAAUGAAUAGAAUAUGCUGUUAAGAAAAAGACAUUCUGAAAAUGUACAGUAUUGUAACACUGUAUUUUGUUUUAAUAAUAAAAUUUCAUGAUUUUGCAUCUUG